rnacentral:lncRNA from 1 species
UUACUAUAUUAGUGAUAAAGAUGAACAAACUGAUGCCGUUUUUUAAACUUCUGGAAUCCUCUCCUUGGAUCUAUGGUUUAAUAGCAAGAAACUAGAGGGUAUAAAACAAUUUUGAAAAUGGAGGUAAAUGGAAAGAUUCAACGUAAGAAAAGCCUUGUAGGAUUAUAGUGCUGACUGACAUCCUCUCAGCCAUGAUUCCUUUCUGACUUGUGGGACUGUCUUCCGAAGUCAAUGUGACAUUUGUCUCUGGCCGUGACGCUGCCUGUGGCCUCAGUGCUCCCUUAGCCUUCGGUGCCCUCCCCAGUGCCAGCUGUUGUCAGGUGGGGCUCACUGUGACUCAGUUCUAAGUUAGGUUGGGUAAUUGCUGUGAAAUUGCUGUUUUUGUAGUUUUUUAAAAACAUGGGUUAAUAGUGACCGUUUCACAUGGUUCAACCUUAUAUAUUGCAUACGAAUGAAACCACAUUCUCUUCUUUUCAGAUAACUCAUUAAAAGGUCCAAGAAGUUCCACUUUUGUACACUUUCUUUUUUAAGGUUUGGAAAGCUAUGCAGUAAUUCAUCUGCAGUAUUUACUAGUUUCAAUUCAAGUUAAACAGUGACUUGAUGACU